UUGUUGAUCAAGGAAAUAAAGGAGUGCUUGAUGGCUGCUGUGUCAACCAACAAUGAUAUGCUCCAAAAGGUUUGGGAUGAAUUAGAUCACAGGACUGAUGUGCGGUGAGUGACACAAGGGGCACAUAUUGUGUAUUUUUAAGAAAUAAAGAUGGUGAGAGUUCCUUUAAAAAUUUAUUUAGACUGCAUGCCCACAUGGUACCAAAUUACUUAAUACAAUUUUGAAACUGUUCAGUUUUACUUGCAUUAAACAAGUAUGUCAGCCAUUUUAUGAUUGAUUUUUUAGAUUGGAAUGUCCUGCAUUACAAAGACAGUUUGGGUUUUAUAAACCCCUACCAGCAGCACCUGGCAUUGCCCGGAUAAGUAAUAUUUAAGAAAUUUAUGAAAGAGCCAUAGGAUAGACAAUGUUCUCUGCUUUUCCUCCUGGUGAACAAAUGAGCAGGUGGUUUCGAUUUCCCACUAUGGAACAUGCAACCUUAAACAUGUCCAUGUAAAUAUCAUGAACUCUCCAAAUGUAUUCCAUCAACUUUCAUGGACUGACCUAGGGCCAUGUUGAUUGACAUUGCAUAAGCCAGAUGAAUAGGAAGUAGAAGCUAUUUAAAAUCAAAAGGCAAUUCUUUGGGAAUGAGUAGAGUUUUUGGUAUGAAGGCAUCUUUACCUCUUGCCCAGCCAGUUAGAAAAGUUGCUUCAAUUAUGUUUGGUAACAGUUUCUUUGUGCACAGUUGAGUUUCAUUGCACGUUGUUGAUAGAUCCAGAUUUCGAAGGACCAUGAUGGGUGCCCCAAUCUUAAUCUGCAAAUUUUGAGUUGGAAGUCCAGGAGGCUGAAAUGAAUUCAGCAGCUCUGCUGUCAUGCAGUUCUUGGAUUCUUUGCUGAUUCCCCCAGAGCCUUCAUGACUUCUGAAUAAUUAAGACCUACUGUUGCUAAAUUUAUGAGCUGACACUGUCAUAACUCUUUCCUGGGAUCAGAUCACAUCUUCCUUGAUGAUGUUGAAGUAAUCCAGAGGUAAUUACCCUAGAAAUAAGUUGGGAAAUAUUGGCAAGAUGAAAUGCUGAGCCAUCUCACGUCAGCUAUUUGUGAUAUCUUCUUUAUCUUUUGCAGAGUGAAUGAAUUUAAAACAGGCGUCAAUCUUGGUAUUAAAGUGAAAUGGUAUCUUUAAAAAAAAUGAAAUAACCCUUGGUGAAAUAGCAUUUUAUUUCAAAAGCGGAGCAGAGUCCUUUUAUUUGUGAAAGGUGCUCAUUUUUAUGACCAUAAUGCUUAUUUUGGUGGACUUGAAUUUUACUAUUUGCCCACUUGUUUGUUAUAUUCUAUUUUUAUUGUUAUAUUUUCAUGUGAACAUGUUUUUUCACUCUCAUUCUCUCUCUUUGUAUAAUUCUCCUGUCUCUGUAUAAUCUCUGUGUCAUUUGAGGUGCCUGGAAGAGAGACAAGUUCUGAUGGCAAGCUAAAAAAACAUUAAAAUGCUAAAUGCAAUAUUAUGGCUGUUCUCAGAUCUAAUCUCAUAAUCGCUACUGGUGUGUAAGAACAAAGAGGCUUUGGCUUUAGCAGGUUGCUAUUGACAGCAAAAGUUUUUCUAACAAAAAUAAACCAAUCUGUCCCUUUUUUUUCUUUUUGCUAAUCGCCUGCUGCCUUAAAAGCAUAUUCUUUCCAUUUCAAAAUUAGUGAAUGAACAGUUGCUAAAAUGUGAAUGGCAUGUUAUAAAUUUAUUGUGUAAGUAUUUUAUAAAUGUCUUGCCUGCUAAAUGAUUGUCUGCAGGGGUCUCAGUAAUCAAUUCAGAUGCUGGCUGCUGUUGUUGCCUGGAAGGAAACAGAAAAUAUUCAUUCUGCA